GAAAUCAGCAAUCUGCAUCCCAGAAGAGGGCUCUCAUCAGAACCUGACCAUGCUGACAGCUUGAACUUGGACCCUCCAGCCUCCAGAAGUGGUUGCCUGAAGUUUAAAGGAGUCAAUUCAAAUAAAGCGCUUAACACUCCUGGCACAAGGUUUCUGUGCAGCGCCCUUUCUGCCCAGGGCUGUGGAGAGUCGAUGGCGAGGGGGACACUGUGGUUUGGUGAGGCCGCCGCUAGAGGUCUGAGCAGUUUAAGUGACACACAG